rnacentral:lncRNA from 1 species
UCUAUACUAGACGUAUAUAUUAGUGAAAGUAAACGAUGAAAAAUGAAAAUAAUAAUGAUGAAAUAAAAAUUUUAUUAAGAAAACAAAAAUAAUAAUGAUAACGAAAAAUGAUGAAAUGCCCAAUUAAAACGAUCACUUUAGUUAAUUCUUAAAAAAAAAAGAUCUCUUUAGUAAGUUGGAGGGAAAAAAAAAUUUGAAUUAUUCAAGCAUACGCCCUAUCACCCGG